CGGCGGCGCUCGGCGGCGAGGGCGGGCUCCCAGGCCCACGCGAUGGCGCCCACCUAAGGCGGUGGGGGAGGUGUCUGGGCUCAGCAUGCCGGCGCGGCGGCGCGGCGGCUCCUCGCUGGUCGCAGAUAUUAAUCAUCUUUCUGAAGUACAAUCUCCAUGGCCUGAACUUUUUUUGAAAAUCAUUUUGAGCAAAGUAUUUGUUUAAUAACAAGAUAACCACAUCAAGAUGGUUGGAAAACUGAAGCAGAAUUUACUAUUGGCGUGCCUGGUGAUCAGUUCUGUGACAGUAUUUUACUUGGGCCAGCAUGCCAUGGAAUGCCACCACCGAAUAGAGGAACGUAGCCAGCCAGCCAAAUUGGAGAGCACAAAAGCCACCGUGCGAACCAGCCUGGACCCUAAAGCCAAUAAAACCUUUGCCUAUCACAAAGAUAUGCCUUUGAUAUUCAUUGGUGGUGUGCCUCGGAGUGGGACCACACUCAUGAGGGCCAUGCUGGACGCACACCCUGACAUUCGCUGUGGAGAGGAGACCAGGGUCAUUCCUCGGAUCUUGGCCCUGAAGCAGAUGUGGUCGCGGUCCAGUAAAGAGAAGAUCCGCUUGGACGAAGCUGGUGUCACUGAUGAAGUGCUGGACUCUGCCAUGCAAGCCUUCUUACUAGAAAUCAUCGUGAAGCAUGGGGAGCCAGCUCCGUACUUAUGUAACAAAGAUCCCUUUGCCCUGAAAUCCUUAACUUACCUUGCCAGGUUGUUCCCCAAUGCCAAAUUUCUCCUGAUGGUUCGAGAUGGCCGGGCAUCAGUGCAUUCAAUGAUUUCUCGGAAAGUUACUAUAGCUGGGUUUGACCUGAACAGCUACAGGGACUGUUUGGCCAAGUGGAAUCGUGCCAUAGAGACGAUGUACAACCAGUGCAUGGAGGUCGGUUACAAAAAGUGCAUGUUGGUCCACUACGAGCAGCUCGUCCUCCAUCCUGAGCGGUGGAUGAGGACCCUGUUGAAGUUUCUCCACGUCCCAUGGAACUACUCAGUGCUGCACCAUGAGGAGAUGAUCGGGAAGGCCGGGGGAGUGUCGCUGUCAAAAGUGGAGAGAUCUACAGACCAAGUCAUCAAGCCAGUCAAUGUGGGAGCUCUGUCAAAAUGGGUGGGGAAGAUYCCUCCAGAUGUCUUACAAGAUAUGGCAGCGAUUGCACCCAUGCUUGCCAAAUUGGGAUAUGACCCUUAUGCCAACCCACCCAACUACGGGAAGCCGGACCCCCGGAUCCUUGAGAACACCAGAAGGGUCUACAAAGGAGAAUUCCAGCUACCUGACUUUCUGAAGGAAAAACCCCAGACGGAGCCUAUGGAGUAGCAGGGCCUGGAACCUCCUUCACACCUCGAGGGUCUCGGUGUGCACCUGUUCAGAUGGCCAGGGCAUCAAGGUGACUGCUGCACCCUGGAUGCGGUGCCCUCAGUGGCUUCAUUGAGCCGUGCCCAGGGUAGGGCUGCCUCUGCACUUGCACAGAAGUCACUUGCAGGGAGCUGCGGAGCCCAGCGGAGCCCAGGCGGCCGGCCGUCUCCUGUGCACUCCAGCCCCUCCUGCCAAGGGCGGGUGUCCACUCCUGUGAUAAGGAGCCAGGGGACAGUGCCCUCAUUUAGCCCUACUCUUGUCCUCAUCUUAACAAAUUCCAAACUUCGUUUUCAAGGGGAGGGUUUAAAAAUGGUAUUCUGUAAGCAAAACGGGCAGUUUCAUUUUGGGAUAGGUUGUCUGUACUUGGUCCAAUGUUUCGUAGAACACUUGUGCCUGUUUAAAUAUAUUGAUGUGGAUAAUAUUAAAUAUCUUAAUUAUUUAAGUAAUUCAUUGUAUUGUUUCUGAGAAGUUGGGAAAUUACCGUAUACAUUUACAACUU